AACGCACGAGACCUGCGGACCUGCGGAAGGAUCAUUACCGAAGUGGAUGUGGCUGUGGGUUGGCGCGGGCCGGUCUGCAGCCGCACAUUCGUGCUGGGGAGGUGAGGGUGUGGGUGUGGGUGGGGGUGGCCGCGUCGCAGCGGUGUCGCAGCGGUGUCGCAGCAUCGUUGCGGUGCCGCCGCGUCGUUUCCGGUCCCGUCUGCCCGCCCUCGCUUCCGGUGCACAUCUGCGCUUGAUUGU
rnacentral:misc_RNA from 1 species